rnacentral:rRNA from 1 species
GUGGGGAAUAUUGGGCAAUGGGGGAAACCCUGACCCAGCGACGCCGCGUGAGGGAAGAAGGCCUUAGGGUCGUAAACCUCUGUUGUGUGGGAAGAAGAGCGUGACGGUACCACACGAGGAAGUCCCGGCUAACUACGUGCCAGCAGCCGCGGUAAUACGUAGGGGACGAGCGUUGUCCGGAUUUACUGGGCGUAAAGGGCGCGUAGGCGGUCAUUUAAGUCAGCUGUGAAAUGGUUUGGCUUAACCGGAUCAUGCGGUUGAAACUGGAUGACUGGAGUGCUGGAGAGGCAAGUGGAAUUCCCAGUGUAGCGGUGAAAUGCGUAGAUAUUGGGAAGAACACCGGUGGCGAAGGCGACUUGCUGGCCAGCAACUGACGCUGAGGCGCGAAAGCCAGGGGAGCGAACGGGAUUAGAUACCCGGGUAGUCC